UACGGGGGGGGGCAAGCGUUGUUCGGAAUUACUGGGCGUAAAGGGCUCGUAGGUGGCCAACUAAGUCAGACGUGAAAUCCCUCGGCUUAACCGGGGAACUGCGUCUGAUACUGGAUGGCUUGAGGUUGGGAGAGGGAUGCGGAAUUCCAGGUGUAGCGGUGAAAUGCGUAGAUAUCUGGAGGAACACCGGUGGCGAAGGCGGCCUUCUGGACAGUGACUGACGCUGAGACGCGAAAGCGUGGGGAGCAAACAGGG
rnacentral:rRNA from 1 species